rnacentral:lncRNA from 1 species
CUUUAAAUGGGUAUUUCUCCAUAGACGACACACAACUAGUCAAGAGUCACAGGGAAAGUCACACUGCAUCAUUGGCCAUCGGGGAAAUGCGAAACAAACGCCUACAGACUGAAACUGGAUUCUCGAGUUCUCUGCAGGAUUAACUCACGUGCCCAGCGAGGGCACUGGGAAACACAGUGGCUUCCUGCUCACCCGUCCUGUCCCCAAGCAGCCUCUCUAUAUGGCUAGGCUAGGACAAAAAAUGUGCCAGUUGAAAACAGCAUGGUGGUCUCAAGGUAGUCUAGCUGUUGUGUCGUCUCAGGGUUCUCUGAAGAAGGCACAUCCAAAGAGAGCCAAUGAGGC